rnacentral:rRNA from 1 species
CCUACGGAGUGCAGCAGUGGGGAAUAUUGCGCAAUGGGCGAAAGCCUGACGCAGCGACGCCGCGUGAGGGAUGAAGGUCUUCGGAUCGUAAACCUCUGUCAGCAGGGAAGAACGGUCACUGUGCUAAUCAGCAGUGAAUUGACGGUACCUGCAAAGGAAGCACCGGCUAACUCCGUGCCAGCAGCCGCGGUAAUACGGAGGGGGCGAGCGUUAAUCGGAGUUACGGGGGGUAAAGCGCGCGUAGGCGGUAUGUCAAGUCAAGGGUGAAAUCCCCGCGCUCAACGUGGGAACUGCCUUUGAAAAUGGCAAACUGGAGUGUGUGGGAGGAUAGUGGAAUUCCAGGUGUAGGAGUGAAAUCCGUAGACAUCUGGAGGAACAUCAGUGGCGAAGGCGACUAUCUGGCACAUAACUGACGCUGAGGAGCGAAAGCGUGGGUAGCAAACAGGAUUAGAUAGCCUAGUAGUC